UACGGAGGGUGCAAGCGUUGUUCGGAAUUACUGGGCGUAAAGCGCGCGUAGGCGGUUUGUUAAGUCAGAUGUGAAAGCCCAUGGCUCAACCAUGGACGUGCAUUUGAAACUGGCAGACUUGAGUAUUGGAGGGGGUGGUGGAAUUCCCGGUGUAGAGGUGAAAUUCGUAGAUAUCGGGAGGAAUACCAGUGGCGAAGGCGACCACCUGGCCAAAUACUGACGCUGAGGUGCGAAAGCGUGGGGAGCAAAC
rnacentral:rRNA from 1 species